rnacentral:rRNA from 1 species
AGUGAAGCGGCAACAGCUCAAAUUUGAAAUCUGGCGUCUUUGGCGUCCGAGUUGUAAUUUGCAGAGGGCGCUUUGGCAUUGGCAGCGGUCCAAGUUCCUUGGAACAGGACGUCACAGAGGGUGAGAAUCCCGUACGUGGUCGCUAGCCUUUACCGUGUAAAGCCCCUUCGACGAGUCGAGUUGUUUGGGAAUGCAGCUCUAAAUGGGAGGUAAAUUUCUUCUAAAGCUAAAUACUGGCCAGAGACCGAUAGCGCACAAGUAGAGUGAUCGAAAGAUGAAAAGCACUUUGGAAAGAGAGUUAAAAAGCACGUGAAAUUGUUGAAAGGGAAGCGCUUGCAGCCAGACUUGCCUGUAGUUGCUCAUCCGGGUUUCUACCCGGUGCACUCUUCUACGGGCAGGCCAGCAUCAGUUUGGGCGGUUGGAUAAAGGUCUCUGUCAUGUACCUCCUCUCGGGGAGAUCUUAUAGGGGAGACGACAUGCAACCAGCCUGGACUGAGGUCCGCGCAUCUGCUAGGAUGCUGGCGUAAUGGCUGUAAGCGGCCCGUCUUGAAACACGGACCAAGGAGUCUAACAUCUAUGCGAGUGUUUGGGUGUCAAGCCCGAGCGCGUAAUGAAAGUGAACGGAGGUGGGAACCUUUCGGGGUGCACCAUCGACCGAUCCUGAUGUCUUCGGAUGGAUUUGAGUAAGAGCAUAGCUGUUGGGACCCGAAAGAUGGUGAACUAUGCUUGAAUAGGGUGAAGCCAGAGGAAACUCUGGUGGAGGCUCGCAGCGGUUCUGACGUGCAAAUCGA